rnacentral:rRNA from 1 species
UACGAAGGGGGCUAGCGUUGUUCGGAAUUACUGGGCGUAAAGCGUGCGCAGGCGGUUUUGUAAGCCAGAUGUGAAAUCCCCGGGCUUAACCUGGGAAUGGCAUUUGGGACUGCAAGGCUGGAGUGCGGCAGAGGAGACUGGAAUUCCUGGUGUAGCAGUGAAAUGCGUAGAUAUCAGGAGGAAUACCGAUGGCGAAGGCAGGUCUCUGGGCUGACACUGACGCUCAUGCACGAAAGCGUGGGGAGCAAACAGG